rnacentral:rRNA from 1 species
UUAAGCGACUAAGCGUACACGGUGGAUGCCCUGGCAGUCAGAGGCGAUGAAGGACGUGCUAAUCUGCGAUAAGCGUCGGUAAGGUGAUAUGAACCGUUAUAACCGGCGAUUUCCGAAUGGGGAAACCCAGUGUGUUUCGACACACUAUCAUUAACUGAAUCCAUAGGUUAAUGAGGCGAACCGGGGGAACUGAAACAUCUAAGUACCCCGAGGAAAAGAAAUCAACCGAGAUUCCCCCAGUAGCGGCGAGCGAACGGGGAGCAGCCCAGAGCCUGAAUCAGUGUGUGUGUUAGUGGAAGCGUCUGGAAAGGCGCGCGAUACAGGGUGACAGCCCCGUACACAAAAAUGCACAUGCUGUGAGCUCGAUGAGUAGGGCGGGACACGUGGUAUCCUGUCUGAAUAUGGGGGGACCAUCCUCCAAGGCUAAAUACUCCUGACUGACCGAUAGUGAACCAGUACCGUGAGGGAAAGGCGAAAAGAACCCCGGCGAGGGGAGUGAAAAAGAACCUGAAACCGUGUACGUACAAGCAGUGGGAGCCUCUUUAUGGGGUGACUGCGUACCUUUUGUAUAAUGGGUCAGCGACUUAUAUUCUGUAGCAAGGUUAACCGAAUAGGGGAGCCGAAGGGAAACCGAGUCUUAACUGGGCGUUAAGUUGCAGGGUAUAGACCCGAAACCCGGUGAUCUAGCCAUGGGCAGGUUGAAGGUUGGGUAACACUAACUGGAGGACCGAACCGACUAAUGUUGAAAAAUUAGCGGAUGACUUGUGGCUGGGGGGGAAAGGCCAAUCAAACCGGGAGAUAGCUGGUUCUCCCCGAAAGCUAUUUAGGUAGCGCCUCGUGAAUUCAUCUCCGGGGGUAGAGCACUGUUUCGGCAAGGGGGUCAUCCCGACUUACCAACCCGAUGCAAACUGCGAAUACCGGAGAAUGUUAUCACGGGAGACACACGGCGGGUGCUAACGUCCGUCGUGAAGAGGGAAACAACCCAGACCGCCAGCUAAGGUCCCAAAGUCAUGGUUAAGUGGGAAACGAUGUGGGAAGGCCCAGACAGCCAGGAUGUUGGCUUAGAAGCAGCCAUCAUUUAAAGAAAGCGUAAUAGCUCACUGGUCGAGUCGGCCUGCGCGGAAGAUGUAACGGGGCUAAACCAUGCACCGAAGCUGCGGCAGCGACACUAUGUGUUGUUGGGUAGGGGAGCGUUCUGUAAGCCUGUGAAGGUGUGCUGUGAGGCAUGCUGGAGGUAUCAGAAGUGCGAAUGCUGACAUAAGUAACGAUAAAGCGGGUGAAAAGCCCGCUCGCCGGAAGACCAAGGGUUCCUGUCCAACGUUAAUCGGGGCAGGGUGAGUCGACCCCUAAGGCGAGGCCGAAAGGCGUAGUCGAUGGGAAACAGGUUAAUAUUCCUGUACUUGGUGUUACUGCGAAGGGGGGACGGAGAAGGCUAUGUUGGCCGGGCGACGGUUGUCCCGGUUUAAGCGUGUAGGCUGGUUUUCCAGGCAAAUCCGGAAAAUCAAGGCUGAGGCGUGAUGACGAGGCACUACGGUGCUGAAGCAACAAAUGCCCUGCUUCCAGGAAAAGCCUCUAAGCAUCAGGUAACAUCAAAUCGUACCCCAAACCGACACAGGUGGUCAGGUAGAGAAUACCAAGGCGCUUGAGAGAACUCGGGUGAAGGAACUAGGCAAAAUGGUGCCGUAACUUCGGGAGAAGGCACGCUGAUACGUAGGUGAAGCGACUUGCUCGUGGAGCUGAAAUCAGUCGAAGAUACCAGCUGGCUGCAACUGUUUAUUAAAAACACAGCACUGUGCAAACACGAAAGUGGACGUAUACGGUGUGACGCCUGCCCGGUGCCGGAAGGUUAAUUGAUGGGGUCAGCCGCAAGGCGAAGCUCUUGAUCGAAGCCCCGGUAAACGGCGGCCGUAACUAUAACGGUCCUAAGGUAGCGAAAUUCCUUGUCGGGUAAGUUCCGACCUGCACGAAUGGCGUAAUGAUGGCCAGGCUGUCUCCACCCGAGACUCAGUGAAAUUGAACUCGCUGUGAAGAUGCAGUGUACCCGCGGCAAGACGGAAAGACCCCGUGAACCUUUACUAUAGCUUGACACUGAACAUUGAGCCUUGAUGUGUAGGAUAGGUGGGAGGCUUUGAAGCGUGGACGCCAGUCUGCGUGGAGCCGACCUUGAAAUACCACCCUUUAAUGUUUGAUGUUCUAACGUGGACCCGUGAUCCGGGUUGCGGACAGUGUCUGGUGGGUAGUUUGACUGGGGCGGUCUCCUCCUAAAGAGUAACGGAGGAGCACGAAGGUUGGCUAAUCCUGGUCGGACAUCAGGAGGUUAGUGCAAUGGCAUAAGCCAGCUUGACUGCGAGCGUGACGGCGCGAGCAGGUGCGAAAGCAGGUCAUAGUGAUCCGGUGGUUCUGAAUGGAAGGGCCAUCGCUCAACGGAUAAAAGGUACUCCGGGGAUAACAGGCUGAUACCGCCCAAGAGUUCAUAUCGACGGCGGUGUUUGGCACCUCGAUGUCGGCUCAUCACAUCCUGGGGCUGAAGUAGGUCCCAAGGGUAUGGCUGUUCGCCAUUUAAAGUGGUACGCGAGCUGGGUUUAGAACGUCGUGAGACAGUUCGGUCCCUAUCUGCCGUGGGCGCUGGAGAACUGAGGGGGGCUGCUCCUAGUACGAGAGGACCGGAGUGGACGCAUCACUGGUGUUCGGGUUGUCAUGCCAAUGGCACUGCCCGGUAGCUAAAUGCGGAAGAGAUAAGUGCUGAAAGCAUCUAAGCACGAAACUUGCCCCGAGAUGAGUUCUCCCUGA